rnacentral:rRNA from 1 species
UCAGGCCUAACACAUGCAAGUCCAGGGGAUGGAAGGGAGCUUGCUCCCGGAUGUUAGCGGCGGACGGGUGAGUAACACGUGGGUAACCUGCCUGUAAGACUGGGAUAACUCCGGGAAACCGGAGCUAAUACCGGAUAGUUCCUUGAACCGCAUGGUUCAAGGAUGAAAGACGGUUUCGGCUGUCACUUACAGAUGGACCCGCGGCGCAUUAGCUAGUUGGUGGGGUAAUGGCUCACCAAGGCGACGAUGCGUGGCCGACCUGAGAGGGUGAUCGGCCACACUGGGACUGAGACACGGCCCAGACUCCUACGGGAGGCAGCAGUAGGGAAUCUUCCGCAAUGGACGAAAGUCUGACGGAGCAACGCCGCGUGAGUGAUGAAGGUUUUCGGAUCGUAAAGCUCUGUUGUUAGGGAAGAACAAGUGCGAGAGUAACUGCUCGCACCUUGACGGUACCUAACCAGAAAGCCACGGCUAACUACGUGCCAGCAGCCGCGGUAAUACGUAGGUGGCAAGCGUUGUCCGGAAUUAUUGGGCGUAAAGGGCUCGCAGGCGGUUUCUUAAGUCUGAUGUGAAAGCCCCCGGCUCAACCGGGGAGGGUCAUUGGAAACUGGGAAACUUGAGUGCAGAAGAGGAGAGUGGAAUUCCACGUG